UGCCGCAUAGCUCAGUCGGUUAGAGCGCAUCUCUGAUAAAGAUGAGGCCGGAGGUUCGAUCCCUCCUGCGGCAA
rnacentral:tRNA from 1 species